CUUCUGCUGUAACUCUUGUUUCAGAAACGCUAAUUUGUUCCAACAUGAUUGACAUAGUAGGGUACAAUUUGAGGGUCUCUGGUCUUCUGCCAGCGUCCUUCAACCAUGGCACCUGUGAGCUUGCAGGCCGGUGAAAGCUCAGGCCUUCCCAGAUCUUCACACGAGGACGUCUUCUCAGCUCAGGCUUGAAGAAGUUACCAACUUGCCAACUGCUGCAUGAAACACCUUUUACCCGCAUACGAGAAACACCUUCACCUGCAUAUGAGAAUCACCUUUACCCGCACACCAGAAACACCUUUACCUGCAUAUGAGAAACACCUUCACCUGCAUAUGAGAAACACCAGCUCACCUGGCCCAGCCAGUUUCUGAGGACCCCUGAGACGACAAUAGUCUCCUGAACCCUGUGGCCAGACCCACCCCCUCACCAUUCCAGAAUGAUUGCCUCAGCCAGAAUCAGGCAUUGCCACCCCAUCAUGUCUAUGAUCUGGCCCUCCACCCAGAACAACCCCAGACUCUCCUUCCAAAUAGUUUGUUUCUCUUUCCAUGCCCACAUCUGGGGGGCGGUGGCGUGGGGACGCUAACAUUUGCUGAGAAUCUACGAUGUACUAAGCUAAUAGGAAUUACGUCUACUCUCCCCACUGUGUAGACAUGGAGACUGAGGCUCAGCUAGGAAGUGGCUUGCCCACAGUGACUCCAAAGCUCCUGCUCUUUCCCC